GUUUUUUUGUUUAUGAGGAGCCACAGUUAAGAUACUUUACUUAUUUGGAUUUAUAUUGAGAUUUUCAGAUUUUAAGAUUAGAAGAUUUCCAGAUGUAUUUCACAUGGCCAGGGUUAGCAUGAAGUGGUCGAAGAUUUGCCUUUCAUUGGUGAAUUUAAGAACAGAUGUCCAGCCCGCUUUAAUGAGGUGUCUGUGGAAUUCAACAGGAUUACAACGAUCCUUUUGGGGUCCAAAUUCAUGAGUCAGCUUGAUCAUUUCUCAACUCAGCUCAUCAGUGUUUUCAGAAAGAAAGGAGGAGCAGCAGGACAGAAGAUCAACAACAUCCUGUCAGUUAUGGAUUAGGAUGUCCCCAUCAAAAAAAGACAUGAAUGCAUCCUAACAGCCCUCGUUGUUUAUGUGAAUGAAGACCACUCAAACCUCGUGAAGGAGUACAAAUUACUUAAGGAUGUUGAACAUGAUGAAGCCCAAACCUCGAUGCGCAAUACCACCCUAGAAAUCUACGUCAUCAAACCUGAAGGGGCACAUGUCACAGACCCUUACCAAGAUGUUGGCAUCAUCGUUGAAGGCGUCAAAAUACUUGAAAACCUAAACAAUAUUGCCAAUGUGUGUUCUAUGAUGCUUGGUCUAAUUUAUGCAUUAAACCUGGCCUACCCACAAGACUUCAGAUACACAUUUGAAACAUUUCAAAAGCUGUCAAACAAGGUCCAUGUCCUGAAAAAUAAACUUCUUUUGUAAGUGUACUUGAGGUAAGGUUCAAGAGGUGCUACUUAUGUUUCCUCAAUGAUGUUACACUGUUGGCUUGUUACAGUACAUUUGUUCCAGGACUGACCAUGUUACACUUUUUUCAUUAUUGAUCUUGUUUUAAAGAAAUGCUUUAUUUUUCCCCAAUUUAAAGGAGUCACAGACUGCAAGAGAGA